rnacentral:misc_RNA from 1 species
GAACCUGUCUAACUCCACCUCAAAGCUAACUCACAAAGGGAGAUUUGUAAAUCCAUAUAUAUAACACUCAAAACCUCCGUGCAGAACCGAUGUAGGACACAUCAGUUUUUCAAUUUGAAAGGAAGAAAAAACUAAGGUCACAUUAGUUUAAAAACCACAAAACAGAAAUCAGUCCAAAAUCAUGUAACAAAAUCCAAUGAAAAUUAAGACAUACACUUCAUUAGGAAAUUAUAUGGUUAACAAGCCAUAUUCAUCAACUAAUUCUGAAUUUUGAUGCUUAUAAAUUAAACAAUUAAAAAAUGUAGGUUUGCAUUAACAAUACCCUCAGUUAUUUUAAUCCAUCUUAACCAACAGAGCAGCUCUGUUCUUAGGGUAGUUCACUUUUUAUCCUUUUCCAUUUCUAAAGCAAUUAACACAACUCAUAAGAACAGAUUAGGUACAGGGGAGACCUUGAACAACGAAAUCAACCCAUGAAUAUGUUAAAAAUCACAGAAAAACUGCUUCUUUACCUAUGCUAUCAAAAAGCCUGUGUAUCCAAAUUGACAAUGUAAGCUAGAUGUAAAACACAUACGUACUAAACAAAUUAUAAAAACACACAGCUUUUGAAUCCUUGAAUACAAAAUCAUGGAACAUUCUGUCUAUACCUUGUUAGCACUCUCUUUCUCUGC